rnacentral:lncRNA from 1 species
CGUUACAAAAUGGCUCAUUAUGUCGUUGGCUUUAGCUUCCAAUAGUGCCUCUGCCGCCUCUCCUAUUAUGCUUGCAUCUAAUUCUCCAGAUUUAUCUUCGAGGCGAAUGAAAGCGUUUGCUCUGGAGAACAAAGUUUAACACAUUAGAUGUCAUUAUCUGCUAGAACUAAGUAUUGUUUUUAGUGAAUAUUUAAAUCUAUAUUUAGAGAUGCAAUUUACCUUGGCACUACUUUUGCGUAUUCGUACUUACAGAAGCGACAUUUGUAAGUUUCUUCAAAGUCUACGUUGGAUGUUUUUUUUCAAUUGCUACAUGACAUGUACCCGAAGUUUUGGUGGGUCGAAACAAUUCUCCAUUGGGCGUUUACCCAAUAGAAUUUUUUCUGUAAGAAGACAUGUAUGUUAAA